rfam:Triticum urartu cultivar G1812 contig469310, whole genome shotgun sequence.
CCGCUCGGCGAUGGGGAGAUCAUCUCCUUCGUUCUAAAGGGUCUGGACAUGGAGUAUAACUUGGUGGUCUCAGCCCUCUCUGCUCGUGUCGAGUAUGUCACCGUCACCGAGCUCUACACCCAGCUUCUUAGUUUUGAAG